GACGAACGCUGGCGGCGUGCUUAACACAUGCAAGUCGAACGCUGAAGGCCCAGCUUGCUGGGUUGGAUGAGUGGCGAACGGGUGAGUAACACGUGAGUAACCUGCCCCCUUCUUUGGGAUAACGGUCGGAAACGGCUGCUAAUACCGGGUAUUCACUGUCCUUCGCAUGGGGGGUGGUGGAAAGGUUUUUUCUGGUGGGGGAUGGGCUCGCGGCCUAUCAGCUUGUUGGUGGGGUGAUGGCUUACCAAGGCUUUGACGGGUAACCGGCCUGAGAGGGUGACCGGUCACAUUGGGACUGAGAUACGGCCCAGACUCCUACGGGAGGCAGCAGUGGGGAAUAUUGCACAAUGGGCGAAAGCCUGAUGCAGCGACGCCGCGUGAGGGAUGACGGCCUUCGGGUUGUAAACCUCUUUCGCUCAUGGUCAAGCCGCAACUUGGGUUGUGGUGAGGGUAGUGGGUAAAGAAGCACCGGCUAACUACGUGCCAGCAGCCGCGGUAAUACGUAGGGUGCGAGCGUUGUCCGGAAUUAUUGGGCGUAAAGGGCUUGUAGGCGGUUUGUCGCGUCUGCCGUGAAAUCCUCUGGCUUAACUGGGGGCGUGCGGUGGGUACGGGCAGGCUUGAGUGCGGUAGGGGAGACUGGAACUCCUGGUGUAGCGGUGGAAUGCGCAGAUAUCAGGAAGAACACCGGUGGCGAAGGCGGGUCUCUGGGCCGUUACUGACGCUGAGGAGCGAAAGCGUGGGGAGCGAACAGG
rnacentral:rRNA from 1 species